rnacentral:lncRNA from 1 species
CACAAACUGAAGUACCGAUGAGCUGACAAAUAAUUAGUUGCAUGUAAAACUUUUCUGUUCUGAAACUCAUUUUGUUGCCUUUCCAGAUUGCUUGCUUAGGAACUAAUUCCAAGGAUUACUUUGAUCGGCAUGGAGAUUUAAAGAGCAUCAGGAGACUGAAGUUAACCUUAUUUCUCUGCAAUAUAUCAGAUUGGAUAUUGGCACAUAUAUGAAUCAGGUUGGGUUGUCUGAACCUAGAAUCCCCUGCUUCUCAAACUCAAGGUAUACAUUAUUGCAUAUAGGAACAACAAUUGUCAAGUGUGGCAGUCAUAUUUUGAUAAUCUGUAUUUUUUGGAUGAUUGCAUUAUGAUGAAGUCUUCCACAUAGUAGUGAUGAAAUAUCUUCAGAUGUGAGAAUUUCAUGUUUAAAAGCUUCAAGGUUUAGGAUUUUCUCUUUAAAAUAAAUCUUGGGCCUCAAAUUCAUAAUAUUGGUAAAGACGUAAAGUUCAGGGUAUGCAGACUCAAAAUUCUUGCAUUAGAAAUUU